GGAGGGUAACCCCCUCCCUUGACCUGCUCCAUCAGCAGAAGAGGGCAGUGACUUCAGGUUCUUUCCCAGGGAGCUGGACGAAGCGGUAGGACUGAAUGGAAAUUUCAUCUGGUGACUGUACAAGGAGUCAGGCUCAGACUUCUGGAAAACAGGCUUUCCGGAGACAGGUGGAUGAUCAUGAUGACAAGUGUGCAUGCACAGCCCUUGAGAGCACGUCUGGACACAAACUAAUGAAGCUAAGCACUCACUAAAAUUGCUUUCCAUGGCGUGGGAGCAGGAAGCAGCCCAGUCUACAGGGUGAACUGGCUCAGACAGCGCUUCCUUCAGCUGGUCCAGGUUCACCAUUCCACAUGUAUGGACUGCCUCCAGAGGGGGCCAGGAUGACUGUCCGAAGGCCUGAUGUUUGCUCUCCCCACCGGGCCUUGUAACAGGGAACCCUCUGAAAUAGCUCUUGCAAAUCCGACGCUUCCUACCCCUGCUCCCCAUCACCAGGUACUCUGCCGAGGAGGUCUGUUUUGUUUCUUUUUUUUUUUUUUAAUUUUUAUUACAGUUGAUUUACAAUGUUUUGUCAAUUUCUGCUGUACAGCAAAAUGACCCAGUCAUAUCCUGGAAGGGGUCACAUAAGCCCCACUUGUUAGAUAGGAAACCAAGGCUCUAAAAGCUCAGUGAUUUUCCCUAGGAAAAUAGAAGGUUCAACAUCAUUCCCUAGGAAGGUCUGUCUGACACCAUCGCCCACGCCCUUUUCAUCUCCCCAUCUCUGAAGCAGAAAAGUAGAAGUCCUUCAAGAGCUGAUAUAAGACUGACGCAGGCAGGGUUGGGGGAGGUACUUUCUAUUUCUCACAUAGGAGCCCUGUGGAGUCCACUAACAGGGCUUUAUAACCACAUCAAGUUGAACCCCCUCCUUUCUGCUUGAAUCUUGGCACAGUGUGAUGCAGAUGAGCACAGAGCCUAGAGCCAGCAUGCCUGCUCCACCUCAGACUGACCCUGAUGCCUUUGGCUGGGUGCUCACCCUCUCUGUAAAACAGGGGUGGUGGUGAUGACGAUGUCUUUGUGAGAGGUUACAUGGUAUCUUGUGUGAUGUUAAGAUCACUGCCUGGCAUCUAGGAAGCGGUACCUGUGUGCUUGUUAAAUAAGGUCCUCUGGGUGUCCUGGAGGGUCUCCAGGUGGGACCUCCCUCUUGACUUCUCUCCCUCAAGGCGUUGUUUUAGAGAAAGUGUGUUUGUUUGCAUUCUUUGCAAACUAUCACACAUCUCUCUUUAUAAAACCAUGAAGGAUGCCAAGGGCCUUUGCGAGAGGUAGGUAAGGGAGACUGACUUUAUGUAUUUUGUAAAAUCUCAUCUAAUCUCAGAAUAGGAAAGGGCCUGUUACUCUUUCAAGUCGCUUUAAAUGGAACCCAUGGAUCUCAGCAUCUCUUGCCCUUUGGGUCUUUACAUUUCACUCACCUUCUUUUUCAAGCUCAAUUAGUGAGGUUUGUUUGUUUGUUUGUUUGUUUGUUUUACAUUUUUCUCCUGAUCCCUUUUUGUCUUAUAAAGAUGUUGGGAGGUUGCUGAAAUCCCCUUAAGAGGCAGGUCACUGUUAUUCUGACAGGUGGCCAGCGUUAAGCCUGCCUUCAUCUCCAUCACUUAAGUAAAUAAAUACUGUGACCUAGCCCUUAAGUAGGGAGGAACAGAAGCUGAGAGGAUUUGGGAUUUGUCAGUUGCAGAUAAAACACUUGCUGUGCCCAGAAUGUCUCCUUCCCCCAACUCUCUACCGGCAAGGAGGUACUGCUUUAAUAGAGUUAACAGCCACAUGUUACCUUGGUUUUCCAGGGUCUUCUCAUGCUCUGUUCCCACUUUCAUAGAAGUUUUAAGGUGCUUUUUGUUUCAUUAUUAAGUCAAAAUGAAUGAAGAGAGUAAGUGAAUGUUGAAAAUUCAGCUAUGAGCUGAGGCAUGUGGAAACACUGCUGGGCCUGCAUGGGGCAGGAAGUAAGUGAAUGUGAGGAGGGUUCCUGCACUGGUCAGUCUUAAUGGGUGGGUUCCCAAAAGCUCUAGGCCCACUUCUGGAUGUCAGCUUCUUAAUGCAAAAUGUUUUUUCUCCUACCUUUUAGUGAAGCAGCAGGACUGCUGCAUGUGUGACCACUCGCUAGCAUGGCUCUUCCAAAAGUUUAGAGCUGCUUUCCCUUCCUUUUCAAAAUGUCCCCUCUACUUUUCUGCUCCUAUCCUACCUUUGAUGGAAGAGCAAAACACACUGAUUCAAAAGCCUCUCUGAGGAGUUCCUGUUGUGGCUCAGCAGGUUAAGAACUUGACACAGUGCCCACGAGGAUGCGGAUUCGAUCCCUGGCCUCGCUCAGUGGGUUAAGGACCUAGCAUUGCCAAGAGCUGUGGUGUAGAUCACAGAUGCGGCUUGGAUCCAGUGUUGCUGUAGCUGUGGUGUGGGCUGGGACCUGUAGCUCUGAUUUGACCCCUAGCCCAGGAACUUCCAGAUGCCA
rnacentral:lncRNA from 1 species